UAGGGCAUCAUGACGUGGAUCUGUAGGGGAGCACCGGUAUCGUGGUGUGGUAGGUAUGAAGCUCGACGAACAACAAAGGAGGUAUGUAGAGUGUUAGAUUUUAAAUCAAUAUAAUGUAUAUGGGUGAUGGGAAGGAAGGGUAGAUGAUGAAUGAAAGAAGUAUCGGAAUAAAUUCGAUCUGGAUGAAUACGUUCAUGGAUGGUAAUGUAGUAAAAUGGCAGUAGGAUACCCAAGCACAUUGUAUUGUCCGAUCCAUUGAUUUUGGCAAAUGUUAGUUUACUGUUGGUCACUUAGUUUAGUAUAAUAUUUUUAUAAUAUUAUAGUGUUGGUAUGAAUGAUCAUGAAUGUAAGGAAUAAGAAGUGAAAUACCAGUAGGAUACCCAAACACUUUAGGUUAUCCGAUCCAUUGAUUUUACAAAUGUUGGCUUACUACUGAUAACUUGGUUUAGUUUGAGUUAAUAUUAUAUAACAUUAUUUUUAUUGAUGUUUUUAGAUGAUGAAAAUGCUAUCGUGGUGCAUAUUUGUCAGCAUAUAAGAUAUUUAUCGUGUAGGCUGUUUGUAUUAUUUUUAUUGAUGUUUUUAGAUGAUGAAAAUGCUAUCGAGGUGCAUAUUUGGUUAGCAUAUAAGAUAAUUAUCAUGUGAGUUGUUUCUAUUAUUUUAUUGCUGUUUUUAGAUGAUGAAAAUGCUAUCAGGGUGCAUAUUUGUUAGCAUAUAAGAUAUUUAUCAUGUGAGUUAUUUAUAUUAUUUUAUUGCUGUUUUUAGAUGAUGAAAAUGCUAUCGGGGUACAUAUUUUUUAGCAUAUAAGAUAUUUAUCAUGUGGGCUGUUUGUAUUAUUUUUGUUGCUGCUUUUAGAUGACGAAAAUUCUAUCAGGGUGCAUGUUUGGUUAGCAUAUAAGAUAAUUAUCAUGUAGGUUGUUUCUAUUGUUUUAUUGCUGUUUUUAGAUGAUGAAAAAUGCAAUCAUGGUGCAUAUUUGUUAGCAUGUAAGAUAAUUAUCAUGUGGGUUGUUUCUAUUAUUUGUUGCUGAUUUAAAAUGAUAAUAGGAUCAGGAGGAUUUACAUGAAUGGACAUGGGAAUAAAGAUAGAAAUGCAUGUAUGAAUAAAGGAAAAAGAAUGCAUGAAUGAGAUACAACCAAGGUGUUUUGACGGUGAAUGACGAAUGAUGAUCCAUACGAGUUUUAUACUUUUAUGAAUAAUGAAUGAUUGAUAAAAUUAGACUUAAUGGUUACUUGCUUAUGUGUUAUGUUAAUAGAUAAUAUUUGAUAAAUGCUGUGUCUAUGCUUUACAUAUGAUGUAAUCACUCACGGAUACAUGUAAUAUUGCAGGGAACGGAGACAAUCUUGCCUAACUGGAGUGGUAAGAGACAAAAGACUCAUCGAAGUGACGAAGCACGUGUGCACAGAUCGUGAAAUGUUGUAGUCAUUGUCUUCUACUUUGAUUAUAAUAAGUAUUAUUUUAGUUUUCUUGAAUACUGAAUGUUUGUGGGAUAUUCCAUUCUGUUAAAGAUAAUUAUUUCAUGAUAUUAAAACUCCCUUUGGAAGCAGGGUUUUACACUUGUAUCCGUGACUCCUUUGACCAAAUCAGCACACAUCCUAAGCAUCAA
rnacentral:lncRNA from 1 species